GAUGAAGAACGUAGCGAAAUGCGAUAAGUAAUGUGAAUUGCAGAAUUCAGUGAAUCAUCGAAUCUUUGAACGCACAUUGCGCCCGCCAGUAUUCUGGCGGGCAUGCCUGUUCGAGCGUCAUUUCAACCAUCAAGCCCCCGGCUUGUGUUGGGGACCUGCGGCUGCCGCAGGCCCUGAAAAGCAGUGGCGGGCUCGCUGUCACACCGAGCGUAGUAGCAUACAUCUCGCUCUGGGCGUGCUGCGGGUUCCGGCCGUUAAACCACCUUCAUAACCCAAGGUUGACCACGGAUCAGGUAGGAAGACCCGCUGAACUUAAGCAUAUCAAUAAGCGGAGGA
rnacentral:misc_RNA from 1 species